rnacentral:misc_RNA from 1 species
GGUGACUCGCCUUCUAUGAAGUCUGUGACCCAGUUGCCAUAUGCUCCAAGUGCUGUGAAACCAUCUUCCGUUGGAUUUGGUGGUCCGUGGAGCACAAUGGGACCACCAUCAACGAGGACGCUGUCGUCGCUAGCUACCCCUUUGGGGCUAUUUGCAGGCCGGGGCUUUUCAGGUUCAUCAGUGUCAGCUGACUGGAGUACGAGUGGAACGAUGCCUCAAUGUGACUACGAAAAAGUUGACUGGAGCCUGGAUACGACACCAGUUUACACUGACUGGAGCCUGGAUUCCGCGCGACAGAUGCCAUCGACCAUGAAGAGCAAUAAUUUGUAUGAUACCCCA